UGAUCCUUCCUAGAAAUGCUGCCGGUU
rnacentral:piRNA from 1 species